CUCUGUACAAUAUUGCGAACUAUAAUUUCAACUCAAAAUUCCCAUGUUUAGCAUGAGUUCUAUUUAUUAUAUUUACAAUAAAUUUUUCUCCAUAUACCACUGAACUCAAAAGGACCUGAUGUUGGUUGUUCUAAGCUGGAUUAACCCUAAGUCUUGGAUGAGUUACUGAAGAGUAAGUUUGCUAUUUAGACAGCUGCGAGGGAGAUACAACUGCUUGAAAAGCUAAGCAAAACUUUCGAUAUUUCAAGCAAAGGCACUUCUUACCUUGAAUUCUUGUUUUAGUUUAUAUUCAAUCCAUUCGGUCACGUGAUUAAGCCGGACAUUACGUUCUCCAAGUUUCGGCUUUGCUAUCAGACUUAAUAAUGGAUUGCUAUGAAAACCAAACCUAAACAAAAACAAGUAGCAUUGAACCAAUACGGAAUGGCCUUUAUUGGACCUCUAAGGA